rnacentral:rRNA from 1 species
CCUACGGGUGGCAGCAGUGAGGAAUAUUGGUCAAUGGGCGCGAGCCUGAACCAGCCAAGUAGCGUGAAGGAUGACUGCCCUACGGGUUGUAAACUUCUUUUAUAAAGGAAUAAAGUGAGGUACGUGUGCUCUGCUGAAUGUACUGUAUGAAUAAGGAUCGGCUAACUCCGUGCCAGCAGCCGCGGUAAUACGGAGGAUCCGAGCGUUAUCCGGAUUUAUUGGGUUUAAAGGGUGCGUAGAUGGGUUGUUAAGUUAGUGGUGAAAUUUUGGGGCUCAACUCUGGAAUUGCCAUUGAUACUGGCGGUCUUGAGAACAGAUGAGGUAGGCGGAAUGCAUGGUGUAGCGGUGAAAUGCUUAGAGAUCACGAAGAACUCCGAUUGCGAAGGCAGCUUACUAAUCUACCACUGACGUUGAGGCUCGAAAGUGUGGGUAUCAAACAGGAUUAGAUACCCUAGUAGUC